rnacentral:tRNA from 1 species
GAUCUGUUAAUUUAGUUGGUAGAAUAUCUGUCUGUGGAACAGAAGACAUCGGUUCGAUUCCGAUACAGGUCA